GGACAGGUGGUUGCUGGCUGGGAGCUUAGCUGGAACUGGUAGCCAAAGGUCUCAGUUCUUCUCGACGUGGGCCUCUCCAUAUGGAUGCCUGGGCUUCCUGCCCUGUGCUCAUUUCUUCUUUUGUUAGAAAAUCAGCUGUAGCCUGGCCAGUGUGGCUCUGUUGGUUGGAGCAUUAUCCUGUACAACAAAAGGCUUCAGGCCCAGAAAAGCAGCAAAACCAGACAAGUGAUGCCAUGGUUGACAUCAGGACCAACUGCAUUGACUAAUGACCGCCUGCCCUGACAUUGACCAAUCAAUAGAGACCACAACCCUAAAAGGACACCUCUGGAAAGCUGAUGAAUAUUUUACUGGGAUCCUCCCCUGAGACCUCCAGGUAAAAACCCUCAAGGAUGAGGAUCCAGUGGUGCUC